AGAGCGAACGCUGGCGGCAUGCUUAACACAUGCAAGUCGCACGGGCACUUCGGUGUCAGUGGCGGACGGGUGAGUAACGCGUAGGUAUCUAUCCUUGGGUGGGGGACAACUGUGGGAAACUACAGCUAAUACCGCAUGAUAACUGAGGUUUAAAGGCGCAAGUCGCCUGAGGAGGAGCCUGCGUACGAUUAGCUAGUUGGUGGGGUAAAGGCCUACCAAGGCGACGAUCGUUAGCUGGUCUGAGAGGAUGAUCAGCCACAUUGGGACUGAGACACGGCCCAAACUCCUACGGGAGGCAGCAGUGGGGAAUAUUGGACAAUGGGCGCAAGCCUGAUCCAGCAAUGCCGCGUGUGUGAAGAAGGUCUUCGGAUUGUAAAGCACUUUCGACGGGGACGAUGAUGACGGUACCCGUAGAAGAAGCCCGGCUAACUUCGCGCCAGCAGCCGC
rnacentral:rRNA from 1 species